UGCGUUCCAUUUAGGCGGACGGCGGGGUAACGGCCCACCGUGCCAUCGAUGGAUAGGGGUUCUGAGAGGAAGGUCCCCCACAUUGGGACUGAGACACGGCCCAAACUCCUACGGGAGGCAGCAGUGAGGAAUAUUGGUCAAUGGCCGUGAGGCUGAACCAGCCAAGUAGCGUGAGGGAUUACGGCCCUACGGGUCUUAAACCUCUUUUGUGAGGGAGCAAAGUGCGGGACGCGUCCCGCAUUGCGAGUACCUUUCGAAUAAGCAUCGGCUAAUUCCGUGCC
rnacentral:rRNA from 1 species